rnacentral:rRNA from 1 species
GAUGAACGCUGGCGGCGUGCCUAAUACAUGCAAGUCGAGCGAACGGACGAGAAGCUUGCUCCUCUGAUGUUAGCGGCGGACGGGAGCGUAACACGUGGAUAACCUAACUAUACGACUGGGAUAACUUUGGGAAACCGGAGCUAAUACCGGAUGAUAUUUUGACCCGCAUGGUUCCAGAGUGGAAUUCGGUAUUGCUGUGACUUAUAGAUUGAUCCGCCCUGCAUUAGCUAGUUGGUAAGGUGACGGAUUACCAAGGCAACGAGUCAUAGACGACCCGAGAGGGUGAUCCGCCACACUGGAACAGAGACACGUCCCAGACUCUUGGGCGGGGCAGCAGUAGAGAAUCUUCCGCGAGGGAGGAAAGGCUGACGGAGCAACGCCGCGUGAGGGAUGAAGGUCCUCUGAUCGUAAAGCUCUGUUAGUAGGGAAGAACAUAUGUGUAUGUAACUGUGCACAUCUUGACGGUACCUAAUCAGAAAGCCACGGCUAACUACGUG